rnacentral:lncRNA from 1 species
UUUGGUAUCUUCUUAUGCCCUACGAGAAGGAUGUUGAGACGGGUGGUGGCCUACUUUGAUACAAGCAUGUAUUAUCUAUACGGCGAAGUGAUGAGCUUUCACUGCGUGUUCAUCACCAAAACAGGAGUGAAGGAAUUUCUUGAAGGAUUGAUGAUCUCCUCUAUAGGUAGUGAGGAGGAUCUCAUUUUGGAACCUUGUAUGGAUGGCGAGAAGACAUGG